AGUGAACGCUGGCGGCAUGCUUUACACAUGCAAGUCGAACGGCAGCACGGACUUCGGUCUGGUGGCGAGUGGCGAACGGUGAGUAAUAUAUCGGAACGUGCCCAGUCGUGGGGGAUAACGUAGUGAAAAUUACGCUAAUACCGCAUACGAUCUAAGGAUGAAAGCGGGGGACCUUCGGGCCUCGCGCUACUGGAGCGGCCGAUAUCAGAUUAGGUAGUUGGUGGGGUAAAGGCCUACCAAGCCGACGAUCUGUAGCUGGUCUGAGAGGACGACCAGCCACACUGGGACUGAGACACGGCCCAGACUCCUACGGGAGGCAGCAGUGGGGAAUUUUGGACAAUGGACGCAAGUCUGAUCCAGCAAUGCCGCGUGCAGGACGAAGGCCUUCGGGUUGUAAACUGCUUUUGUACAGAACGAAAAGGCUCUGGUUAAUACCUGGGGCUCAUGACGGUACUGUAAGAAUAAGCACCGGCUAACUACGUG
rnacentral:rRNA from 1 species